GAUGAACGCUAGCGGGAGGCUUAACACAUGCAAGUCGAGGGGCAGCAUAGGGUAGCAAUACUCUGAUGGCGACCGGCAAACGGGUGAGUAACGCGUAUGCAACCUACCCUGUACAGGGGGAUAACCCGGAGAAAUUCGGACUAAUAUCCCGUAAUAAUAUCCGGAGGCAUCUUUGGAUAUUUAAAGUUCCGACGGUACGGGAUGGGCAUGCGUAACAUUAGCUGGUUGGUAAGGUAACGGCUUACCAAGGCUAUGAUGUUUAGGGGUCCUGAGAGGGUGGUCCCCCACACUGGUACUGAGACACGGACCAGACUCCUACGGGAGGCAGCAGUGAGGAAUAUUGGUCAAUGGGCGCAAGCCUGAACCAGCCAUCCCGCGUGCAGGAAGACGGCCCUAUGGGUUGUAAACUGCUUUUCCAGGGAGAGAAACUUACGCACGUGUUGCGUGACUGACGGUACCCUGGGAAUAAGCAUCGGCUAACUCCGUGCCGGCAGCCGCGGUAAUAGUGUGUGUA
rnacentral:rRNA from 1 species